rnacentral:rRNA from 1 species
AGAGUAAGAAGCAAUGACGGUAUCUGAGGAAUAAGCAUCGGCUAACUCUGUGC